UACAGAGGGUGCAAGCGUUAAUCGGAAUUACUGGGCGUAAAGCGUGCGUAGACGGUUAUGUAAGUCGGAUGUGAAAGCCCCGGGCUCAACCUGGGAAUGGCAUUCGAAACUGCAUAGCUAGGGUGCGGAAGAGGGAAGCGGAAUUUCGGGUGUAGCGGUGAAAUGCGUAGAUAUCCGAAGGAACAUCAGUGGCGAAAGCGGCUUCCUGGUCCAGCACCGACGUUCAGGCACGAAAGCGUGGGGAGCGAACAGG
rnacentral:rRNA from 1 species